rnacentral:rRNA from 2 species
UACGUAGGGCGCAAGCGUUGUCCGGAUUUAUUGGGCGUAAAGAGCUCGUAGGCGGCCUGUCGCGUCUGCUGUGAAAUCCCGGGGCUUAACCCCGGGCGUGCAGUGGAUACGGGCUGGCUGGAGGCAGGCAGGGGAGAAUGGAAUUCCCGGUGUAGCGGUGAAAUGCGCAGAUAUCGGGAGGAACACCGGUGGCGAAGGCGGUUCUCUGGGCCUGUUCUGACGCUGAGGAGCGAAAGCGUGGGGAGCGAACAGG